rnacentral:rRNA from 1 species
UACGAGGGGGGCGAGCGUUGUUCGGAAUUAUUGGGCGUAAAGGGUGCGUAGGCGGUUUGGUAAGUCUGAUGUGGAAUCUAUGGGCUCAACUCAUAGUCUGCAUCGGAAACUGCCGGGCUUGAGUAUGGGAGAGGUGAGUGGAAUUCCUGGUGUAGCGGUGAAAUGCGCAGAUAUCAGGAGGAACACCGGUGGCGAAGGCGGUUCUCUGGGCAUGUCCUGACGCUGAGGAGCGAAAGUGUGGGGAGCGAACAGG